rnacentral:lncRNA from 1 species
UAGGGCUUGGGUUUGAAUGUUCCUUAGUGUUUUGUUACUAGCUUUUCACCAAAAAAAAUUCACCCUUUUUUGUUAUUUCCGUGUUUGGCUAACCAAUUUUUUUUUUCAUGUGUAUUUUCUCAUAGCAGAUUAUAAAAUAAGUUCAGGUGUCAAACCGAGCCUAAAAGCUCCAACAACUUACUUACAUUUCGACUACCCAAAGCAAAAU